rnacentral:lncRNA from 1 species
GACAUCAGGGAGCGGGCAUGGGGCGAGCAGCUGCUGAUAGAUAGGUUGGCCAUUACUAGGAGCAGCCAUUCUACUUCAAUCUGUAUCUAUCCAUGUCAAGCGAUACCUAUUGCCCAAUCCAUAACCUGAAAUCCGUCUAUAUCGAUGUCGUUAAAUUUGCUAUCGAUGUCGUUGCCUCAACCAUAAUAAUAGAUAGGGGUGAUCG